rnacentral:rRNA from 1 species
GGUUAAGUGAAUAAGGGCGCACGGUGGAUGCCUUGGCACUAGGAGCCGAUGAAGGACGGGACUAACACCGAUAUGCUUUGGGGAGCUGUAAGUAAGCUAUGAUCCAGAGAUUUCCGAAUGGGGGAACCCAAUAUCUUUUAUAGGAUAUUACUUUUCAGUGAAUACAUAGCUGAUUAGAGGUAGACGCAGAGAACUGAAACAUCUUAGUACCUGCAGGAAGAGAAAGAAAAUUCGAUUCCCUGAGUAGCGGCGAGCGAAACGGGAAGAGCCCAAACCAACAAGCUUGCUUGUUGGGGUUGUAGGACUCCAAUAUGGUAGUCUGUUAGUAUAGUUGAAGGAUUUGGAAAAUUCCGCUAAAGAGGGUGAAAGCCCCGUAGACGAAAUGCUGACAACACCUAGGAGGAUCCUGAGUACGGCGGAACACGAGAAAUUCCGUCGGAAUCCGCGGGGACCAUCCCGCAAGGCUAAAUACUCCCUAGUGACCGAUAGUGAACCAGUACCGUGAGGGAAAGGUGAAAAGCACCCCGGAAGGGGAGUGAAAUAGAUCCUGAAACCGUGUGCCUACAACAAGUCAAAGCUCGUUAAUGAGUGAUGGCGUGCCUUUUGUAGAAUGAACCGGCGAGUUACGAUUGCAUGCGAGGUUAAGUCGAAGAGACGGAGCCGCAGCGAAAGCGAGUCUGAAUAGGGCGA